GAUGAACGCUAGCUACAGGCUUAACACAUGCAAGUCGCAGGACUGGCGCACGGGUGAGUAACGCGUAUCCAAUCUUCCCAUAACUACGUGAUAACCCGUUGAAAGACGGCCUAAUACCUUAUGGUUAUGGAUGGGGAUGCGUCUGAUUAGCUUGUUGGCGGGGUAACGGCCAGCCAAGGCGACGAUCAGUGGGGGUUCUGAGAGGAAGGUCCCCUACAUGGGAACUGAGACACGGUCCAAAAUCCGACGGGGGGCAGGAGUGAGUAAUAUUGGUCAAUGGGGGAGAGCCUGAACCAGCCAAGUGGCGUGCAGGAUGACGGCCUAUGGGUUGUAAACUGCUUUUAUGUGAGGAAAGGUACCACAUGAAUAAGGACCGGCUAAUUCCGUGCCAGCAGCCGCGGUAAUUC
rnacentral:rRNA from 1 species